UACGUAGGGUCCGAGCGUUGUCCGGAAUUACUGGGCGUAAAGAGCUCGUAGGCGGCUUGUUGCGUCAGCUGUGAAAACCCGCAGCUCAACUGUGGGCUUGCAGCUGAUACGGGCAGACUUGAGUGCGGUAGGGGAGACUGGAAUUCCUGGUGUAGCGGUGAAAUGCGCAGAUAUCAGGAGGAACACCGGCGGCGAAGGCGGGUCUCUGGGCCGUAACUGACACUGAGGAGCGAAAGCGUGGGGAGCGAACAGG
rnacentral:rRNA from 1 species